rnacentral:pre_miRNA from 1 species
UAUGCACUGGUGGGGUCCCUCAGCCUGGCCUGCACCCUCUUGCAAUCCGGGACCCUUCGGGGGUGUGGGAGAGCUGGUUUCGGCCCGAUCUUGCAGGCCAGGCUGAGGGACCCCACUGGUGCACA